rnacentral:rRNA from 1 species
GACGAACGCUGGCGGCGUGCCUAAUACAUGCAAGUAGAACGCUGAAGGAGGAGCUUGCUUCUCCGGAUGAGUUGCGAACGGGUGAGUAACGCGUAGGUAACCUGCCUGGUAGCGGGGGAUAACUAUUGGAAACGAUAGCUAAUACCGCAUAACAGUAGAUGUUGCAUGACAUUUGCUUAAAAGGUGCAAUUGCAUCACUACCAGAUGGACCUGCGUUGUAUUAGCUAGUUGGUGAGGUAACGGCUCACCAAGGCGACGGUACAUAGCCGACCUGAGAGGGUGAUCGGCCACACUGGGACUGAGACACGGCCCAGACUCCUACGGGAGGCAGCAGUAGGGAAUCUUCGGCAAUGGACGGAAGUCUGACCGAGCAACGCCGCGUGAGUGAAGAAGGUUUUCGGAUCGUAAAGCUCUGUUGUAAGAGAAGAACGAGUGUGAGAGUGGAAAGUUCACACUGUGACGGUAUCUUACCAGAAAGGGACGGCUAACUACGUG